ACUCUAUUUAUCUCUUCUGAAUAUUCUCACCCAUUGGCAAUUCCCGUUUUUCUAAAUUUUGCUUUCAGGAGCCAGGGCGCUUGCCCUUCCAUUGCCAUGAAGACAGAAGUGCAUUCAGCUGAGUCCUAUGACUAGUGUCUAUCAUCAGAGUUAGUCUCAGUUCAUCAGGACAAGGUUGGCUCUUUUAUAGGUAGUUGAGGCAUGCAAGAGCUCAUUCUUUAUCUGU